AACGAACGCUGGCGGCGCGCCUAAUACAUGCAAGUCGAGCGAGAAGACGUAGCAAUACGUUUGUAAAGCGGCGAACGGGUGAGGAAUACAUGGGUAACCUACCCUCGAGUGGGGAAUAACUAGCCGAAGGUUAGCUAAUACCGCGUACGCUCCUUGGACUUCGGUUCAGGGAGGAAAGCGAUACCGUGGGUAUCGCGCUCUUGGAUGGGCUCAUGUCCUAUCAGCUUGUUGGUGAGGUAACGGCUCACCAAGGCUUCGACGGGUAGCUGGUCUGAGAGGACGAUCAGCCACACUGGCACUGCGACACGGGCCAGACUCCUACGGGAGGCAGCAGUAAGGAAUAUUGCGCAAUGGGCGAAAGCCUGACGCAGCGACGCCGCGUGGGGGAUGAAGGUCUUCGGAUUGUAAACCCCUUUCGGGAGGGAAGAUGGAACGAGCAAUCGUUCGGACGGUACCUCCAGAAGCAGCCACGGCUAACUUCGUGCCAGCAGCCGCGGUAAG
rnacentral:rRNA from 1 species